AUGGGACUCUCAAGCGCCGUGACAUGGUGGGAGGAGUGGCAGCUGCGCAUCCUCGUCUUCAUCAGCCUCUUCAUCCAGUACAUCCUCUACUUCGCCGAAUACGCUCGUAGAGUUCCUGUCCUACGCAGCUUCAGAGUGCUGGUGUGGCUCGCGUACGUAAGCAGCGAUGCUGUGGCGAUCUUUGCCCUCGCCACCCUCUUCAACCGCCACAGGCAGACUUGUGAUGGGGAGGGCAGCAACCUGGAGGUCCUAUGGGUGCCUGUCCUUCUCAUCCAUCUUGGCGGCCAGCCAAGGAUAAGUGCCUACAGCCUAGAAGACAACGAGCUAUGGAAACGACAUAUAGUAACCCUUGUGUCUCAGGUCACGAUCGCCUUGUAUGUCUUCUGCAGAUGGUGA
rnacentral:rRNA from 1 species